GUCGGGCUCCAGAUGCAGAGUGGGCGUGGGAGGGGGCGGCCUGGCUCAGCUGGUUCGGCCCCUACCAAGUAAGUACUCCAGGGUCUCUAGACUGCUGAUGGGUCACAGCUCCUCCAGCUCUUUCCCGGCCACGCGAAUUCUAGUCCUUCUCCUAGCUUUGACCGGGAAGCUCCCUCCCAGCAUUUUACACAGCCUUCUCAGGGCCAACCUCUACUGGCUCCCAAGCUUUUAGCUGCAGGGCAAAAGAUGGGGAGAGGCACAUGAACAGGGUGGAGUCCGCCAGCGGAAAGCAACCACUCUAAACCGGACCCUGGAUGGAGGAGAGGCUGCUCCAGUCCGGAAAGCUUAUUUAUAGCUCGCCUAUUUCAAACCUCCGCCUUCCUGCAAGGUGCACUCUUCCCCGCCACCCCCUAUGGAAGGAGAACGGAAGAUCCCAUGCUUCGGGCUGGGCUCUAUUUGGGUUUCGAAAAAACUCCAGAUACUCCCUUGAGGAAGACAAGAACAUCUUUUAUUAAGCAUACGAUCAAGCCCCAGAGCCGAGUGUAAAGGUUUGGGCCCACCUAUAAACCAGCCCCUUGUGAGUCAUCUUCCUGCACUGUGAGAAGGCCGAGUUGUUAACCCAGCCCUUGAAUUCUGUCCCACCGAGGAAACAAAUAUUUAAGUCCUCGCUCGUGACAUAUCCGUCUCCCCAGAUAUAAAAACUGAACACCGGAGAAACGCCGCGGGGAACGUAGAAAUCAAGCUUUAAAGGAUAGAAACUGACUCCUUCAGGAGGAAGAAGGGGACCCAGAGUUGGUAACCAAAUACGUUUGCUGAAACUAUUGUGGGAGGUUAUCUACCACCCCCAGGAACACACACACACAGGCAACAAUGAACACAGUCCAUGCACAUCUGCCACUUCAUUUAUUGUUUUUAUUUGCAGGAGGAGUUGAAACAAAUUUUAAGGGUGUUUUUUCUUUUUCCCCUAAACAUGAAUCAUUCAAGUAAAACCAACUUAACCAUAGAAAUGUAGCAAAGUAAGGGGAAAGUAGCACAAUAACCCAAGAGGCAAAGGUUGGGGGGAAGAGGAGGGUGCAGUCCGCAUAUAACAUAUGCACAAAUGCCAUAUGAUUCACCUGCUCAGGACCGCCUCCCCAGAAGGCAAGAACAAGGACCCAUUUUAAGAGGAUGUUUUCCCCCCAAAUAUCUGACAAUGUUUCAACUUAAAGCUUAAGGUUAAAAAGAGAAAAGGAAAAAAAAAAAAAAAACCCAGAAAACACACAA